GAAGGGAGAGGAGGAAGGGGGAGGAAAAAGGGGGGAAAAGGAAGAGAAGAAGGGGAGAAAGAAGGGAAAAAGGGGAGAAGAAAGGAGAAAAUGUGGAAAAAAAGGGUUAGAAAGUGAAAGGAGGAUUAGGAUGUAAAUUAUGGAUGGAAAAGAGUAGCAUUAGCUAGUUGGUGAGGUAAAGGAUAAAAAAGGAAAAGAUGAGUAGAAGAAAUGAGAGGGUGAUAGGAAAAAAUGGGAAUGAGAAAAGGAAAAGAAUAAUAAGGGAGUGAGAAGUAGGGAAUAUUAAGAAAUGGAAGAAAGUAUGAAGGAGCAAAGAAGAGUGAGUGAUGAAGGUUUUGGGGUAGUAAAACUCUGUUGUUAGGGAAGAAAAAGUGCUAGUUGAAUAAGCUGGCACCUUGACGGUAAAUAAAAAGAAAGAAAAGGAUAAAUAAGUGAAAGAAGAAGAGGUAAUAAGUAGGUGGCAAGCGUUAUCGGGAAUUAUUGGGCGUAAAG
rnacentral:rRNA from 1 species